CUGCUUGCUUGGGCAGCACAUAGACUAAAAUUGGAAUAAUACAGAGAAGAUUAGCAUGGCCCCUGUGCAAGGAUGACAUACAAAUUUGUGAAGCGUUCCAUAUUUUU
rnacentral:snRNA from 1 species